CAAGAACUUGUCCACGUCGAAGCAAUCUAUGUCAAACCUGAGGAAACAUUUAGAGAGGAAGCAUCCAGGCGUUCUUCUGAAAGGCACGUUUAGUCCAUCUGAUACUCGGGACCCAUCGUCCAUCUUAAUUCUUGAUGCACUGUAUUGUGCCGUGUUUAAUUUUACAAGCCAGGGUGUGCAAAGAAAAAAUCAAGAAAAAUAAAAUGUGAUGUAAAAGUC